rnacentral:rRNA from 1 species
GACGAACGCUGGCGGCGUGCUUAACACAUGCCAGUCGAACGGAAAGGCCCUGCUUUUGUGGGGUGCUCGAGUGGCGAACGGGUGAGUAACACGUGAGUAACCUGCCCUUGACUUUGGGAUAACUUCAGGAAACUGGGGCUAAUACCGGAUAGGAGCUCCUGCUGCAUGGUGGGGGUUGGAAAGUUUCGGCGGUUGGGGAUGGACUCGCGGCUUAUCAGCUUGUUGGUGGGGUAGUGGCUUACCAAGGCUUUGACGGGUAGCCGGCCUGGGAGGGUGACCGGCCACAUUGGGACUGAGAUACGGCGCAGACCCCUACGGGAGGCAGCAGUGGGGAAUAUUGCACAAUGGGCGGAAGCCUGAUGCAGCAACGCCGCGUGCGGGAUGACGGCCUUCGGGUUGUAAACCGCUUUCGCCGGUGACGAAGCGUGAGUGACGGUAAUGGGUAAAGAAGCACCGGCUAACUACGUG